AUCUGCCACUGAUCUCCUACCAUGAUGAACUCCUUUCACAGUUGAAGAAGAUAUGCAUUGAACCAGAACCAAAGAGAGCAUUGAAAUCAGUCUCCUGGAAAGCUAAAGCACAAGCAUCUUAUCAAUUUCUGUCUCAGUUGCACAAAAAAAUUCAAGUUAAAAGUCCACAAAAGAUUAGGUGCAUGAGGUGUUGCUGCAGUUGUAGAAUUGCUAAAUGGUUGAUGCAAACGGUUAUGCCUUUGCUGUUUUUUCCCUGGUUUCUUAACUUGUAACGUAUCAUAUAUUGAGCACUUUCUUUGUAUUUGAAGUUGUAGGCUAAUUGGUUAUGUUUGAGAUGUUUUUAAUACCUAUUGUUGUACCUUUUACAAGCUGUAAUUGUAGGUUUCAUGUUGACUUCUAUAACCUAGUUUGAAUGGCUGGAAAACCUUGUGUUCAGUUUGCUUU